rnacentral:rRNA from 1 species
AGCAGCAGCCGCGGUAAUACCGAGGGUGCGAGCGUUAAUCGGAUUUACUGGGCGUAAAGCGUGCGUAGGCGGCUUUUUAAGUCGGAUGUGAAAUCCCUGAGCUUAACUUAGGAAUUGCAUUCGAUACUGGGAAGCUAGAGUAUGGGAGAGGAUGGUAGAAUUCCAGGUGUAGCGGUGAAAUGCGUAGAGAUCUGGAGGAAUACCGAUGGCGAAGGCAGCCAUCUGGCCUAAUACUGACGCUGAGGUACGAAAGCAUGGGGAGCAAACAGGAUUAGAUACCCCCGUAGUCCCUGUCUCUUAUAC